GCUAAUGUAGCUUAAAUAAAGCAUGACACUGAAGAUGUUAGGAUGGGCCCUAGAAAGCCUCGUGAGCA
rnacentral:tRNA from 1 species